ACUGCAACACUGAGAAAUAAACAUAUUUGGCUGAAAAUGGCUGAAAGGAUGACCCAGAAGAACCUGUGCUCACAGCUGUCACUGGAGAGCAAAUAGCAGGAGAAGUUUGGCAGAAAUUGAGAUCAAACAAGCUCCAAGAUAAACAAGCUCUGUAAAAUACUGAAGUACCACAAAGCUUCCUCACAUUGCACUUGAGAUAAUUUCCAACAAGCCACAGCAGGUCUAAUCUGACCCUUUCCCGUACUCUUCCAUGGACUGAAUGACCACCCUGGAUUACAAACAACCUCCAAACCUGUUGAAGUUUCUCAGCAUGGAGCAGAAGCCGAUUGAGGAUAAGAAAGCUCAACUGCAUUCCAAUGAAAUCAAAGGAUUAUGAACUCCAUGAGUCUCUGUAAGGAGCUGCAUCUUGUCCACAAAAUUCUGCACAGAGGAAUGUUACAGGUAUGCUUCUCUGAGAGAGGAGAUGACCAU